AUAUACCAUUGCAUUUCUCAACUUUUCUUUUACUUUUCUUGUAUUUCUAUUAGGGCAGUACAAAAAUCAGAACCACCCGCCCAAACCAAGAAAACUGACUUGAAAAUUAGCAAAUGAUCGGUUUUUAUGCACUAAACGAUCGACUACGGUUGAUAAGAAUGGAAAUUUUCUUUUUCUCAGAUGGGUAUUGGGCUUAAACAGGUUGUGUUCAUCAAAACUAAGCCGACCGACAAUGAUUUGCAAUGAUACAUUUACACACGCCAUUAAUCCAUUGGUUGUGCAAAUUGCAGAUUAUCUGUAUGGCCUAUAGUAUAGACAUCACUAGUUGAUUGUGACGACAGCCUUAACCCCACUAUCCUCUGUCUAUCUCCCGUGUUCACUUCUCUCUCUCUCUCACUCUCUCUCUCAUGUAUUCACCAUUUCUCUCACCUUCUCUCUAUGUUCUUCCAUUUCUCUCUUCCUCUCUUCUUGUAUCUCACUCUAUCUUUGAUGUGCCUUCCUUUCCUCCUUCUCAAAUCUGAAAUUCAUCACCCUAAAACCCCAUUCUCUUUAUGAACAAUUCUUACUCUGAUCAUCCUAAUUUUUUAAAUCCGAUGGUGCAAGGUCCAAAAAUCCAGAUCGGUGGUAGCUACUGUGAGAUUGCAUCGAGAUUAUUGUGGUGGUGGCGUCAAGAUCAUCGCGGAAACUGUGAGAUUGUCAUGAUAAUAAUGAUUUUCUUUCCUUUCUCACGAAACCCUUCGAUCUUCUUCGGUUGUGUUGAUUUUGUGAAUGGUGGGUUUGGUACAGGGCUGAUCAAAGUCCAACUGAUUUUUCUAUUACUCAAAACGAUCGGUUUUGAACUGUUGUUCAAUUGAGAUCGAUUAAAGUUUACUCCAUUCUAAAGUUCAUCAGUUCAAGCACAGAUGGUCGGCAAAACCAAUUCGAUCUAACCUGUGAACAACCCUAAUUUCUAUUGUUUUGCCUUGGAUUUUUUGAAACCCUUCUUGGUGACUUUUUAAAUUUUCUUAUGAAUGUCAAGGGUUUUUCCAUAUUUUUCAUCAUUAUGCUAUUAUUGAAGAUGGAUAUGCUUUGAUUUGAUGAUUUUUUCUCUCACUCUUUCAGAUCUGCUCUUGAGUUGCUCAUAGCUGACGAAAAUGCACGCCCUCUAUCACCAAAUGCACUUAUCGACUCUGAUUGGGCCAAAUGGCUUUGACUUCACAGAGAUCAGGAUAUUAACGGCGUUGAGAUUAUACAUUUCCGUAAAAUUGACUAUAAGGUCUGAGAAGUUCCUUUACCUCCCCUUCGAGGUCGAGGCCGAGGUCACGGUCGAGGUCCGAGUUGCAAUCGAUGUUGCAGUAGAGAUUGAGGUCAGAGUUGAGGUGGAGUUUUGGACAUAGGGGGUGAAGAUGCUCCCUUUAAUUUCAUUCAUGAGGUCUUGCUUUUGAAGCGAUUCCCUUUUUUUUUUUUUUUGACAUAUUGCCCUAAUUUGGGUCUGAAUUUAUAGGCUCAUGUGGGUCGCUUCGUCUUGCAAGCUCUAACACCUCCCAUGGUCAUUAUCAGUGAUAAUGAUGACAGUGAUAAUGACUUAGUUUCUACUAUCACGUCUAUCCCAGGUUCUUUGGUUGCUCCACACAGAAGGCAAAGGCCAACCUAAGGGUUCAUCUACUUAGACUAGGAUUUUGCUUUUCAAUUGUGGUUUUCUUUUUCUUUUUUAGAAAACUAGUGUAUAGGAUGUUUGGGUGAUGCCCCAUGUUUUUGCAAAACUCUUGUACAUUUCUAAACUAUAAUGUAUGCAAUGAAAUCCAUCAUUUUGUCCAA